rnacentral:rRNA from 1 species
AUUGAACGCUGGCGGCAGGCUUAACACAUGCAAGUCGAGCGGAGAUGAGGUGCUUGCACCUUAUCUUAGCGGCGGACGGGUGAGUAAUGCUUAGGAAUCUGCCUAUUAGUGGGGGACAACAUUCCGAAAGGAAUGCUAAUACCGCAUACGUCCUACGGGAGAAAGCAGGGGAUCUUCGGACCUUGCGCUAAUAGAUGAGCCUAAGUCGGAUUAGCUAGUUGGUGGGGUAAAGGCCUACCAAGGCGACGAUCUGUAGCGGGUCUAAGAGGAUGAUCCGCCACACUGGGACUGAGACACGGCCCAGACUCCUACGGGAGGCAGCAGUGGGGAAUAUUGGACAAUGGGGGGAACCCCGAUCCAGCCAUGCCGCGUGUGUGAAGAAGGCCUUAUGGUUGUAAAGCACUUUAAGUGAGGAGGAGGCUACUGAGACUAAUACUCUUGGAUAGUGGACGUUACUCGCAGAAUAAGCACCGGCUAACUCUGUGCCAGCCGCCGCCGUAAAAC